GGGUCCACCUCCCACCCGUGUUUAUUUUACCUUGUUGCUUCGGCGGGCCCGCCUUAACUGGCCGCCGGGGGGCUUACGCCCCCGGGCCCGCGCCCGCCGAAGACACCCUCGAACUCUGUCUGAAGAUUGAAGUCUGAGUGAAAAUAUAAAUUAUUUAAAACUUUCAACAACGGAUCUCUUGGUUCCGGCAUCGAUGAAGAACGCAGCCAUCUCUUGGGCUUCUGGGUCUGCUCAACGUAUCAAUUUUACUUGUUGCUUCGGCGGGCCCUUAACUGGCCGGGG
rnacentral:misc_RNA from 1 species